rnacentral:rRNA from 1 species
AGGCUUAACACAUGCAAGUCGAGGGGCAGCAUUUUAGUUUGCUUGCAAACUGAAGAUGGCGACCGGCGCACGGGUGAGUAAUACGUAUCCAACCUGCCGAUAACUCCGGAAUAGCCUUUCGAAAGAAAGAUUAAUACCGGAUAGCAUACGAAUAUCGCAUGAUAUUUUUAUUAAAGAAUUUCGGUUAUCGAUGGGGAUGCGUUCCAUUAGUUUGUUGGCGGGGUAACGGCCCACCAAGACAACGAUGGAUAGGGGUUCUGAGAGGAAGGUCCCCCACAUUGGAACUGAGACACGGUCCAAACUCCUACGGGAGGCAGCAGUGAGGAAUAUUGGUCAAUGGGCGAGAGCCUGAACCAGCCAAGUAGCGUGAAGGAUGAAGGCUCUAUGGGUCGUAAACUUCUUUUAUAUGGGAAUAAAGUUUUCCACGUGUGGAAUUUUGUAUGUACCAUAUGAAUAAGGAUCGGCUAACUCCGUGCCAGCAGCCGCGGUAAUACGGAGGAUCCGAGCGUUAUCCGGAUUUAUUGGGUUUAAAGGGAGCGUAGGUGGAUUGUUAAGUCAGUUGUGAAAGUUUGCGGCUCAACCGUAAAAUUGCAGUUGAAACUGGCAGUCUUGAGUACAGUAGAGGUGGGCGGAAUUCGUGGUGUAGCGGUGAAAUGCUUAGAUAUCACGAAGAACUCCGAUUGCGAAGGCAGCUCACUAGACUGUCACUGACACUGAUGCUCGAAAGUGUGGGUAUCAAACAGGAUUAGAUACCCUGGUAGUCCACACAGUAAACGAUGAAUACUCGCUGUUUGCGAUAUACAGUAAGCGGCCAAGCGAAAGCAUUAAGUAUUCCACCUGGGGAGUACGCCGGCAACGGUGAAACUCAAAGGAAUUGACGGGGGCCCGCACAAGCGGAGGAACACGUGGUUUAAUUCGAUGAUACGCGAGGAACCUUACCCGGGCUUAAAUUGCAACAGAAUAUAUUGGAAACAGUAUAGCCGUAAGGCUGUUGUGAAGGUGCUGCAUGGUUGUCGUCAGCUCGUGCCGUGAGGUGUCGGCUUAAGUGCCAUAACGAGCGCAACCCUUAUCUUUAGUUACUAACAGGUGAUGCUGAGGACUCUAGAGAGACUGCCGUCGUAAGAUGUGAGGAAGGUGGGGAUGACGUCAAAUCAGCACGGCCCUUACGUCCGGGGCUACACACGUGUUACAAUGGGGGGUACAGAAGGCGGCUACCUGGUGACAGGAUGCUAAUCCCAAAAACCUCUCUCAGUUCGGAUCGAAGUCUGCAACCCGACUUCGUGAAGCUGGAUUCGCUAGUAAUCGCGCAUCAGCCAUGGCGCGGUGAAUACGUUCCCGGGCCUUGUACACACCGCCCGUCAAGCCAUGAAAGCCGGGGGUACCUGAAGUACGUAACCGCAAGGAGCGUCCUAGGGUAAAACUGGUAAUUGGGGCUAAGUCAUAAC